AUUGAACGCUGGCGGCAGGCCUAACACAUGCAAGUCGAACGAGUGGCGGACGGGUGAGUAAUGUCUGGGAAACUGCCCGAUGGAGGGGGAUAACUACUGGAAACGGUAGCUAAUACCGCAUACCAUCGGAUGUGCCCAGAUGGGAUUAGCUAGUAGGUGGGGUAACGGCUAACCUAGGCGACGAUCCCUAGCUGGUCGGGGAGGAUGACCGGCCACACUGGAACGGAGACACGGUCCUGACUCCUACGGGAGGCAGCAGUGGGGAAUAUUGCACAAUGGGGGCAAGCCUGAUGCAGCCAGGCCGCGUGUAUGAAGAAGGCCUUCGGGGUGUAAAGUACUUUCAGCGAGGAGGCGUUACUCGCAGAAGAAGCACCGGCUAACUCCGUGCCAGCAGCCGCGGUAAUAC
rnacentral:rRNA from 1 species